GCGGGUGCGGCGAUUAUAAAAACAUUCCUCGUCCUGAUCCCCCGUGAUCGACUCCUAUACACCCAUAGAAUCUGAGCAUU